AUAUCUCUCCGUACGGGAAGGAUGAGAAGCUUUGACUAAGGUUCGAUUCGAGCGCAGCGAGAAAGCGUUGCCGCAGGCAACGACCCGAAGGGUGAGGAGCGGAGCGACGAAUAAUCCCUCCCCCACCACCA
rnacentral:sRNA from 9 species